GGGCCCAUAGCUCAGCUGGUAGAGCACCGUGCUGAUAACGCGGGGGUGAGAGGUUCAAGUCCUCUUGGGCCCA
rnacentral:tRNA from 1 species